UUUUUUAUGGUGUAAUAAACACAUAACAUUUUCAUUGUUAAAUUGAUAAAAUAAUAUCUAAAAAUA
rnacentral:tRNA from 1 species